AUGACCAAUCGCCGUUGUUCUCCAUUCAUGUUGUAACGCAGGGAUUGUACGUCACUGGUGACAUGGCAACGAUGGAGGCUAGUCCGGAAUCAACAGCGAAUACACUGCUGAAAGAUGAGUGCUAUACUGAUUUCAUUGAAGAGGGUUUUGAUGUGAAGACGUACACAGCUCAAGCCAUUCAUCAUGCUGUCAUUGCAGAGCAGCUGGCAAAGCUGGCGGAGGAUCAGACAAACACCUGUCGAGAUGAGACAAACACCUGUCAGGUGUCUAACAAAUGAUGCAGACCCGAAUCGUUGCUCUCCACAGUGCUGUGGACAGGAUAAGGACCAAAAUUGUUGACCCUUACAAUAAGAUUGUGGCACGGACAGCCCAGCUCGCCUGCUUACAGUGACCUUCAAAAUGAAUUUCUGGCAAGUUCCACAAGCAGAACAACGAACAACAAAUAAAAAAGUCUGUAGUGGCUGUGUGACAUAGUCCAUUUCUUCUGAAGCUUGCAUGGUCUACUUUUACUGUGCUUUUUGUUCUCUGUAACUUGACAGAUGUGGUCACUGUGUAUUGUCAUGGUUAAAAAAAAAAAAAAGAGUUCAAAACAUCUAUUUUGGCUAAAGGAAAGUCAUUUGUGCACCUGCUAGUAUCUUUGUGUGGCAAGGCAAGAAAAUGCAUGCUUUUAUCAUGUUCACUUUCUGCCCCACGGCUCACAUGAUGCCAUCAUGAGUGUCUGAAUCUGCAGAAAAGAAAAAAAAAUCAAUAAAAGUCCAUUUGGA